CAGAUGAUACCACUUGUGUGUGUUAUUACUUGAUGAUUUUAUCACUUAUCUUACUAAGUGACUUCUUGACAUCUCAGGCCAAAAAAGAGUACAUGGGUCUGGCAAUCAAAAAUGAUAACCUGGUCUACGUUUACAAUUUGGGGACCAAAGAUGUGGAGAUUCUCCUGGAUUCCAAGCCCGUGAGCUCCUGGCCUGCUUACUUUAGUAUU
rnacentral:lncRNA from 1 species